GCUCAAUGGUCAAAAUCUAAGCUGGACUGUUAGCAUGUUAAAGUUGAUUUGAAAUCUUCAACCCACUUCAAUUCCUUAGAAUAGUCGUAUUGAAUCCAAAUGACAUUUUUCAUCACUAUCAAUGAAGAUCAUCGUAUUAAUAGGGUGAUGGAACAGUUCUGAGUUAUACAGAGGCGAAUCACACUAGCACAUGGAGGAAAAAUUGACAAGAAAUACAACUUUAU
rnacentral:misc_RNA from 1 species